UGCAAGUCGAGCGGUAACAUUUCUAGCUUGCUAGAAGAUGACGAGCGGCGGACGGGUGAGUAAUGCUUGGGAACAUGCCUUUAGGUGGGGGACAACAGUUGGAAACGACUGCUAAUACCGCAUAAUGUCUACGGACCAAAGGGGGCUUCGGCUCUCGCCUUUAGAUUGGCCCAAGUGGGAUUAGCUAGUUGGUGAGGUAACGGCUCACCAAGGCGACGAUCCCUAGCUGGUUUGAGAGGAUGAUCAGCCACACUGGAACUGAGACACGGUCCAGACUCCUACGGGAGGCAGCAGUGGGGAAUAUUGCACAAUGGGCGCAAGCCUGAUGCAGCCAUGCCGCGUGUGUGAAGAAGGCCUUCGGGUUGUAAAGCACUUUCAGUAAGGAGGAAAGGUUGGUGGUUAAUACCCAUCAACUGUGACGUUACUUACCGAAGAAGCACCGGCUAACUCCGUGCCAGCAGCCGCGGUAAUACGGAGGGUGCGAGCGUUAAUCGAGAAU
rnacentral:rRNA from 1 species